AUGGUGUUGCUUGACAUUAGGGGUAUGUUGCAGUCCAUGGGCAAAGACAUAGCUGAUUUCGCUCUUCCAUGCAUUGACGAUGCGUUUGACCCAAACGAGGGCGAGGCCAGAGAAGUGAUCGAGGAAUCCAACAUCGAUUUUGACAUCAACGACACUAAAUUGGCAUCGUCGCUAAACUUGGAGCAGAGGGUUGCAUACAACGAGAUACUAGCUGCUGUUGAACGCGGUGAUGGGGGUGUGUUCUUUGUUGAUGGCCCGGGAGGUACAGGGAAGACCUUCCUGUACAGGGCGCUGCUCGCCAACGUUCGAAGCGAGGGAAACAUCGCUAUCGCUACCGCGACGUCAGGUGUCGCCGCUUCUAUCGUGCCUGGAGGCAGGACUGCCCACUCGAGGUUCAAGAUCCCAUUG
rnacentral:rRNA from 1 species